AACGAACGCUGGCGGCAGGCCUAACACAUGCAAGUCGAGCGCCCCGCAAGGGGAGCGGCGGACGGGUGAGUAACGCGUGGGAACGUGCCCCUUUCUACGGAAUAGCCUCGGGAAACUGAGAGUAAUACCGUAUAAGCCCUACGGGGGAAAGAUUUAUCGGGAAGGGAUCGGCCCGCGUUGGAUUAGGUAGUUGGUGGGGUAAUGGCCUACCAAGCCGACGAUCCAUAGCUGGUUUGUGAGGAUGAUCAGCCACACUGGGACUGAGACACGGCCCAGACUCCUACGGGAGGCAGCAGUGGGGAAUCUUAGACAAUGGGCGCAAGCCUGAUCUAGCCAUGCCGCGUGAGCGAUGAAGGCCUUAGGGUUGUAAAGCUCUUUCGUGGGGGAAGAUAAUGACUGUACCCCAAGAAGAAGCCCCGGCUAACUCCGUGCCAGCAGCCGCCGUAA
rnacentral:rRNA from 1 species